AGAGCUGAAAUAAUACAGCAAAAAUAUAAACAUUCAUUUAAAUAAAAUUCAAGCAUUCACAUCAAUCAUAUUCAGAUCUCUUUUCCUUGUUUUUUGUUGCAAAGCAAGUUUGCAUAAAGGGAAAAUAUUGCAUAUACUCUCAUUCAGGUAUAUAUUCACAUGAGCAUUGUCACCAGAGAGUUUGCAAAGCCAUCUUUGAAGGCUCUGUAUGGAUCUGGGAGUAGAUGCACUCACGGGACUCAAAAGACCCAUUGAACAGCGUGAACAACAAAUUCUUCUUUGACGGUCCAUAGAGGCUGAAGUACGUUUGCAUAAACUUUUCAUCGAAUAAUGAGUAAACUUGUGAAAAUCAGAUCAUGGAUAAUUUACCAACAGAAACAAGGAUUCAAUUAUUUGAAUUAUUCACUGCAAACAACUGUAUCAGAUCUAAAUCAUCAUACUUAACAUUGAUAUUUCCCGAUAUUCAUUGUUACAAUCUUUAUCCUCCCAACCCUUUCCUCAUUCGUCCUUCAUAACUUUAUGCUGUCUAAUUUGGAUUUUAAGAUCCUUAAAAUAGGAGCCUCAUUUUAUUUAUCUGCAAAAUACCAUUCACAGCCAUCGUACUGUAUAAAUAAGAAUGCUGCUGAUAAACAUGCAAACUGGAUUACAUGCUCUGGCAAGCCUAUUUAGUAGUUCAAGCACAGACCUAUCAAUGGCAAAUUUUGCUGUCAAGGACCCGAAAACGUACAGCAUAAAGUGUUACACAUUGCUACAGCAGGCUGCCUAUGUCAGAACAUUCAAAGGUUAAACAACAUGGGUGCAAACAAUAAUUAAUGGAAAAGCCUUAACACUUCCAAUUAAAAACAACAAUGAUUAUUUCUGGUUAACACCUUUAUACUUGGUAAAUAUUUAGCUAACUCUAUUAUUAAAAAUUGAUUACCAGAGCAAUUUUUAGAGGCGUACAUUACAGUCCAUUCCACUGGACAAGACAUAGGACUGGAAGCAUCCUUCUAUUUCUAGAUCUUCAACUGACUUGCUAUAAGAUGUUGGCCAAGUCAUUUAAUCUCUGUGCCUCUUUUCUCACCUGUAAAAUGGAUGAAACAGUAUCAUCCACUUUUUCCAAGUACUUUAAGAUUAUUGUUAGCAGGUAAAAAAUGCACUCUUUCUAUAUAUUGACAGAUUCACAAACAGUAAAUGCAAUGUUCUCCAUUACUUCAUAUGGUAUUCAAGUGACUCUCAAUGUGUCUCUGUUAUUUUAUAAGAGGAGGAAAGCCAUAAUGUACAAUAUGACAGAAAAUUCACAUCCCAUUUAAAAUAACGGGAAAUCAGCAACUUCAAAAGACAUAAGAGUAAGCUCUUAAUUUUUUUUGAAUAAUUUAACAACUGAUUUAAACACUUACAUUUAUCAAAACAUUUUAAAAGUAGAAUUCACAAUUUUGAAGACCACUGUCUUCUCUAUGCUUCCUGGAUUCUCGGUCUUACUCUACAUCAGACUCAGGAUGGCAGCUUCCUGUACGUUAAGUAUUCUUUAAUAAAUUAAAAACACAUUUUUUAGUUAUUUGUUCUUUGAAGUUAGAUACAGCGGUUAUAAUUUCUUUAAAUACUUCUCCUUCCCCCCAAAAUACCAGCAAGUUUAAUUCCAUAUCAAAUGCUUUCAUUUCAUCUUCCUAUUCUUUCACAUGGCACAAAGGACCAUGGAGACAUUACUCAAGGAGAAGCAUCAAGAGGGGAAAUUCAACCCUCCCCCCAUAGAUUCCUUUCUAAUUUCAAGAGUGGACAAAUCUGAUUACAGAAGCAUCAUGAUUUGUCUCAGCUGAUAUAUGGCACAAGGACAUAGUCAUGCCCCAAAAGAACGUUCCACAUGGCCUGGAACUUGCCUCCAACAGUGGCUAAUAUUGCAAGUUUCAGGGGAAAAGCAUUAACCCUCUCCAUUCUCACCCCAAUCCCCAAAUAUUCCUAAUCUUAUACUAUACUAUUGAAGAGGCAUCAUGCUCUAGAUAUGAGCUCUGCCUUAUGGCAUCAUCUGUUGCUCUGUCAAUUUCAGCACUGGGAGAUCACAGCAUAGUAAAGGAAAUGCUGGGCCUUUGAGGCCAAGGAGAAGCCUUUAAACAAAUACAGAAAAUUAUGAAGUGAAAGAAAGGCUCAGAGAAAGUCAGCUGUAUUUGAAAAGUUCAGAAUAAAAGAAUCUCAAAUAUUUAAAGGCAUCACAGCAUUCAUUCAUCAUAUAAAUGCGUUAGUCCAUGGACAGCCAAAAAAAAUCUUACUAAAAGUUCUUAAAACACACACACACCAGGAUAUACAAAAAAGUUUUCUUUGCAAAAAAUAUGAAAAGGUGCAUACUGCAUACAUGACAAGAAAAGAAUCACCUGAUCUUUUAUAGUUAUCAGAAUCACGUUUUAGAACAGCACGUUAAUUAUUCAUUUUAUUACUGGUUCCAGAAAAAAAAAAUUCCAUAAAGAAUAAUCUGAUUUACAGUUUAGAUGUAAAGCUUCAUCGUAAUAUCCAACAUACCAUCCCUGCCAUUGUAUACAUCACAGUUAAACAAUCUGUAUCUACUCUGCCACCAGAAUAACACAGCAUGAUGGUCUUCAUAAAUACAUCUGGUGUUUAGGUUUGCUUUUUUACAACAAAAUAAUGCUUUGACUGUUACUAAAACAGUCUGACUGUUCUGUUACACUUAAAGCAAAUGAAAAGCUAUGAGAUUUAUCCAAACUCAAGAGGAAUAUUAGCUGUUUAACAACUAGAAAUGGGUAGGUUACAAGUUUCAAAAGAAAAAACAAAAUCUAGCUGCCAAUAGUAUCAUUAGUCAUUGUGCAGAACAAGGACAUAGCAAUCCGAACAGACUAUUAGCACAGUGCUCUCUUUUUACAAGGUACAUAACUUCUGAGUGGAAAGGAACAGGAAAAAUCACAAUGAGACAACUAUCUAUCCCUGUAGCUUUAUGGAAACAUACUGUCACGCAUAUGAAUUAUUUCCUUUUUAAAGCUCAAAUUGAAACCAAAAGUUCAUUUAAUACUGUGGCAAUUAUACCCUUUAGUUUCCAUUUACAUCAAAUACAAAUCAGAAAACUGCCCCAAAACACUGAUUUUCACAUCACAAAACAGUUGUCAAAAUCUACCAUUUGUAACACAAUUCUCUGGUGUUGCAGUUAACAUUUUGGUUCUUCAGACAACAGUCACAAG